UGGGGAAUCUUGCACAAUGGGGGAAACCCUGAUGCAGCGACGCCGCGUGAGCGAUGAAGCCCUUCGGGGUGUAAAGCUCUUUCGGCAGGGAAGAUGAUGACGGUACCUGCAGAAGCAGCUGCGGCUAACUACGUGCCAGCAGCCGCGGUAAUACGUAGGCAGCAAGCGUUGUUCGGAGUUACUGGGCGUAAAGGGUGUGUAGGCGGUUGCUUAAGUUUGGUGUGAAAUCUCCCGGCUCGACUGGGAGGGUGCGCCGAAUACUGAGUGACUAGAGUGCGGGAGAGGAAAGUGGAAUUCCUGGUGUAGCGGUGAAAUGCGUAGAUAUCAGGAGGAACACCGGUGGUGUAGACGGCUUUCUGGACCGUAACUGACGCUGAAACACGAAAGCGUGGGUAGCAAACAGGAUUAGAUACCCUGGUAGUCCACGCCCUAAACGGUGCAUAUUUGGUGUGGGUCAUUCAGUUGAUCCGUGCCGGAGCUAACGCGUUAAAUAG
rnacentral:rRNA from 1 species